UACGUAGGGGGCGAGCGUUGUCCGGAGUUACUGGGCGUAAAGGGCACGCAGGCGGUGCGGCGCGUUUCGCGUGACAGCGGAGGGCUUAACUCUCUGAGGAUGCGAAAGACGGCGGCACUUGAGGGCCAGAGAGGGACACGGAAUUCCGGGUGGAGUGGUGAAAUGCGUAGAGAUCCGGAGGAACACCGAAGGCGAAGGCAGUGUCCUGGCUGGUGACUGACGCUGAGGUGCGAAAGCUAGGGGAGCGAACGGG
rnacentral:rRNA from 1 species